rnacentral:lncRNA from 1 species
UGUGUGAGUGCUUACAUUUUUUAAAUGAAAAUUUUCACAUGGUAUGAAUAGUAUGAUUGCCUGUUUGUAUGUACUAAGUGCUAACUGCUAAAUUGACAAAUUUAAUUUUAUUGUAUUGUAAUUUGUAGGUGCUAACUGCUCAACACCAUGUUUAAUAGUUUAAGGGUAUCAAUUUGGCGUGAAAUUGGAACAAAAUUGUAGAAUUCUUUGUCCACUUGGUGAGCAAGUUCUCUGGUUCACUAGUUGGAGACUUGGAGCCAAUAUUAAUGCUAAGGGAUUCCUUCCUCAGAUCAGUGAUUUAAGUUGAUUAAUUGAUUUGGGAAUUAAAAAAUUGCGAAUUGUGAUUUAUGAAUUAUGAUAAGUAAUUUACGUUUUAUGAGUUAUGAUUAUUGAUUUGGGAAUUUAUGUUUACGAAAUUAAAUUUGCAUUCGUGAUUUAUGAUAAGUAAUUUAUAUUUUGAUGAGGAAUGAUUAUUGAUUUGGAAAUUUAUGUUUACGAAAUUAUGUUGUGAAUUGUGAUUUAUGAUAAGUAAUUUAUGUUUUGUGAGUUAUAAUUAUUGAUUUGAGAAUUUACGUUUAGGAAAUUAGUCAAAGUGAUAAAAUUUAAUUGACAAGAUGUUGGCCGCUCAAUUCAACCCAUGUGUACUUGAUUUUUUUUUUAGUCAAUUGUAAUUGAUCGUAAUAUUGGACUAUUACGAUCAUCGACGGUCAACGGUCGUCAGUCAACGAUCAACGGUCAACCCGCCCUGGCUGGACUUGGAUCUUAGAUUCGCCACUGCUGAUCAGACUAGUGAUAUAUGGCUUGCAGUGCAGAAGGUUGGCCAGCAGCUUGAGUCCUAUCAUAAGGCAUCUUCACUAACAUUUACAGUCCAAGGUAAAAGUGAUACUAUACGGGAGAGAAAAUUAUUAUUAAAUCCAAGUAAGAGUGAUGUACAGGAGAGAAAAUUAUUAUUUAGUUUUUUCAUUUAUUUUCAAAUUAGGCCA